AGCAAUGCCGCGAUGGGCGCAAGCCUGAUCCAGCAAUGCCGCGUGCAGGAAGAAGGCCUUCGGGUUGUAAACUGCUUUUGUCAGGGAAGAAAUCUUCUGGGCUAAUACCCCGGGAGGAUGACGGUACCUGAAGAAUAAGCACCGGCUAACUACGUGCCAGCAGCCGCGGUAAUACGUAGGGUGCGAGCGUUAAUCGGAAUUACUGGGCGUAAAGCGUGCGCAGGCGGCUUUGCAAGACAGAUGUGAAAUCCCCGGGCUCAACCUGGGAACUGCAUUUGUGACUGCAAGGCUAGAGUACGGCAGAGGGGGAUGGAAUUCCGCGUGUAGCAGUGAAAUGCGUAGAUAUGCGGAGGAACACCAAUGGCGAAGGCAAUCCCCUGGGCCUGUACUGACGCUCAUGCACGAAAGCGUGGGGAGCAAACAGGAUUAGAUACCCUGGUAGUCCACGCCCUAAACGAUGUCAACUGGUUGUUGGACGGCUUGCUGUUCAGUAACGAAGCUAACGCGUGAAGUUGACCGCCUGGGGAGUACGGCCGCAAGGUUG
rnacentral:rRNA from 1 species